CCCUUAGAUGUUCUGGGCCGCACGCGCGCUACACUGACGAAUGCAACGAGCUUAUAACCUUGGCCGAAAAGUCUGGGUAAUCUCCAAAUUUCGUCGUGAUGGGGAUAGAUUAUUGCAAUUAUUAAUCUUCAACGAGGAAUGCCUAGUAAGCGCAAGUCAUCAGCUUGCGUUGAUUACGUCCCUGCCCUUUGUACACACCGCCCGUCGCUCCUACCGAUUGAAUGGUCCGGUGAAGCGUUUGGACUAUGGUUUUCUGACGGUUCGCCAUUGGAUUACCGUGGGAAAUUCGUUAAACCUUAUCAUUUAGAGGAAGGAGAAGUCGUANCA
rnacentral:rRNA from 1 species